rnacentral:miRNA from 1 species
GGAGUGACACUGAGAACACAAG